GAUGAACGCUAGCUACAGGCUUAACACAUGCAAGUCGAGGGGAAACGAUAUUGGAAGCUUGCUUCCGAUAGGCGUCGACCGGCGCACGGGUAAGUAACGCGUAUCCAACCUGCCCAUCACUUGGGGAUAACCUUGCGAAAGUAAGACUAAUACCCAAUGAUAUCUCUAGAAGACAUCUGAAAAGAGAUUAAAGAUUUAUCGGUGAUGGAUGGGGAUGCGUCUGAUUAGCUUGUUGGCGGGGUAACGGCCCACCAAGGCGACGAUCAGUAGGGGUUCUGAGAGGAAGGUCCCCCACAUUGGAACUGAGACACGGUCCAAACUCCUACGGGAGGCAGCAGUGAGGAAUAUUGGUCAAUGGGCGAGAGCCUGAACCAGCCAAGUAGCGUGCAGGAUGACGGCCCUAUGGGUUGUAAACUGCUUUUAUAAGGGAAUAAAGUGAGUCUCGUGAGACUUUUUGCAUGUACCUUAUGAAUAAGGACCGGCUAAUUCCGUGCCAGCAGCCGCGGUAAU
rnacentral:rRNA from 1 species